rnacentral:snRNA from 1 species
GGGUGUGAGGGCAAUCUGACUGCGACAUGUCACCCCGUUGAUUGCCAGGGUUGAUUCGGCUGAUCUGGCUGGCGAGGUGGGUGUCCCUGUCCUCCCUCAAGGAUCCAUGUGCAUCCCUCCCGAAGCUGUGUGCUCAGUUGAAGAGGAUGACCACCCUGGAUAGAGGAGGACCGUUCCUUGGUCAAGGGUAUAUGAGUAGCCGCUCUCCCCUGCUAGAACCUCCAAAGAAGCUCUCAACACUAUGCAGUGUUAACUGGCGGUCAAGCUUAACACCAGCAGUGUGGAGUCUGU